GACUUGUAGUAUUAAACUUACAUUUUUAAAUCCGAUUAAAAUUAGCUACAGAAUUUAGAGAAUAAACCUGUUUGUCUUGGAUCAGAUUCACCGUUAAGGUGCAAUUGAAACUUCCGUGCUCAUCUCUCCAAAAGUAUUUACAUAAUGUCACCACCUCUACUUACCGUUUUACACUACCUUUCCUUUCAAAGAUGAUCCUCUGCCUUCGAUGUAUCCUUCUUGAGCACACGUAAAGCCUCUAAAUGGUUGAUUCUUGCAUGUUCUUAUGUAAGGAAAUAAGAUUUGAAUAGCAGGCACCUUAGUGGUUGGUUGAUAAAACCAACUUACCCCAACACCUUAU